UACGAAGGGGGCGAGCGUUGUUCGGAUUUACUGGGCGUAAAGGGCGCGCAGGCGGCUUAUUUUGUCAGGCGUGAAAGCCCCGGGCUUAACCUGGGAACUGCGUUUGAUACGGAUGGGCUAGAGUUCGGGAGAGGAGAGUGGAAUUCCCAGUGUAGAGGUGAAAUUCGUAGAUAUUGGGAAGAACACCGGUGGCGAAGGCGGCUCUCUGGACCGAUACUGACGCUGAGGCGCGAAAAGCGUGGGGAGCAAACAGG
rnacentral:rRNA from 1 species